rnacentral:rRNA from 1 species
UACGAGGGGUGCAAGCGUUGCUCGGAAUUAUUGGGCGUAAAGGGCAAGUAGGUGGUCUCAUUUGUCUGGGGUGAAAGCCUUGAGCUUAACUCAAGAAGUGCCCCGGAAACGGUGAGACUCGAGUAUUGGAGAGGGUCGUGGAAUUUCCGGUGGAGCGGUGAAAUGCGUAGAGAUCGGAAAGAACACCAACGGCGAAAGUACUCUGCUGGGCCGACACUGACACUGAGAGACGAAAGCUAGGGGAGCGAAUGGG